rnacentral:rRNA from 1 species
GCUUGCUGGGGGGAUUAGUGGCGAACGGGUGAGUAACACGUGAGUAACCUGCCCUUAACUCUGGGAUAAGCCUGGGAAACUGGGUCUAAUACCGGAUAUGACUCCUCAUCGCAUGGUGGGGGGUGGAAAGCUUUUUGUGGUUUUGGAUGGACUCGCGGCCUAUCAGCUUGUUGGUGAGGUAAUGGCUUACCAAGGCGACGACGGGUAGCCGGCCUGAGAGGGUGACCGGCCACACUGGGACUGAGACACGGCCCAGACUCCUACGGGAGGCAGCAGUGGGGAAUAUUGCACAAUGGGCGCAAGCCUGAUGCAGCGACGCCGCGUGAGGGAUGACGGCCUUCGGGUUGUAAACCUCUUUCAGUAGGGAAGAAGCGAAAGUGACGGUACCUGCAGAAGAAGCGCCGGCUAACUACGUGCCAGCAGCCGCGGUAAUACGUAGGGCGCAAGCGUUAUCCGGAAUUAUUGGGCGUAAAGAGCUCGUAGGCGGUUUGUCGCGUCUGCCGUGAAAGUCCGGGGCUCAACUCCGGAUCUGCGGUGGGUACGGGCAGACUAGAGUGAUGUAGGGGAGACUGGAAUUCCUGGUGUAGCGGUGAAAUGCGCAGAUAUCAGGAGGAACACCGAUGGCGAAGGCAGGUCUCUGGGCAUUAACUGACGCUGAGGAGCGAAAGCAUGGGGAGCGAACAGGAUUAGAUACCCUGGUAGUCCAUGCCGUAAACGUUGGGCACUAGGUGUGGGGGACAUUCCACGUUUUCCGCGCCGUAGCUAACGCAUUAAGUGCCCCGCCUG